GAUGAACGCUGGCGGCGUGCCUAAUACAUGCAAGUCGAGCGAACGGACGAGAAGCUUGCUUCUCUGAUGUUAGCGGCGGACGGGUGAGUAACACGUGGAUAACCUACCUAUAAGACUGGGAUAACUUCGGGAAACCGGAGCUAAUACCGGAUGAUAUUUUGAACCGCAUGGUUCAAAAGUGAAAGACGGUCUUGCUGUCACUUAUAGAUGGAUCCGCGCUGCAUUAGCUAGUUGGUAAGGUAACGGCUUACCAAGGCAACGAUGCAUAGCCGACCUGAGAGGGUGAUCAGCCACACUGGAACUGAGACACGGUCCAGACUCCUACGGGAGGCAGCAGUAGGGAAUCUUGCGCAAUGGGCGAAAGCCUGACGGAGCAACACCGCGUGAGUGAUGAAGGUCUUCGGAUCGUAAAACUCUUUUAUUAGGAAAGAACAUAUGUGUAAGUAACUGUGCACAUCUUGACGGUACCUAAUCAGAAAGCCACGGCUAACUACGUG
rnacentral:rRNA from 1 species